UACGUAGGGUGCAAGCGUUUGUCCGGAAUUAUUGGGCGUAAAGAGCUCGUAGGCGGUCUGUCGCGUCUGCUGUGAAAACUCAGGGCUUAACCCUGAGCUUGCAGUGGGUACGGGCAGACUAGAGUGCGGUAGGGGAGACUGGAAUUCCGUGGUGUAGCGGUGAAAUGCGCAGAUAUCAGGAGGAACACCGGUGGCGAAGGCGGGUCUCUGGGCCGUAACUGACGCU
rnacentral:rRNA from 1 species